UAGGAGCUAGCGACUGGCUGUUUCU
rnacentral:piRNA from 1 species